UGAUACGACACAGGGCCCAGGCCAGCUGGAGCCAGAGCUGGGGACUUCGCUGGAGAGAUGGCACCGGCCUGAGGUCAAGGAGAAAUUGAACUAAACUCUCCUUUGAAGACUAGGCCCGUUCCCGAAGCCGGAGUCCCGACCCGAAACCGUCCCCGGCCGGCUCGCUCGCUCAGCAGGGCGCGGCUCCAGCGCCACCCGGCUCGCCCCGAAGAGUUCGCAGAUUUCCGCCCACCUUCCGCCUCGUCUAGCCGCGCCACAGCUAGCGGGGUGAUCUUUCCCCCCCUCUGGUAGGAGUUGGUGAAGAUUUCUACCGCAAAGAGAUCGAAGUGGACUCUUCCCCCUCCGUGCUGGAAAUUCUGGACACCGCAGGAACUGAGCAGUUUGCCUCCAUGAGAGAUCUCUACAUCAAAAACGGCCAAGGUUUCAUCCUGGUUUAUAGCCUGGUUAAUCAACAGUCUUUUCAGGUGUGAUUUCAUUUUGGAUUCAGCUUUGUAUACUCACUGAGGAUAUCAAGCCAAUGAGAGAUCAAAUUGUCAGAGUGAAGAGAUAUGAAAAAGUCCCACUAAUCCUAGUAGGAAAUAAAGUGGAUCUGGAACCAGAAAGAGAGGUUAUGUCUUCAGAAGGCAGAGCUCUGGCUCAAGAAUGGGGCUGUCCUUUCAUGGAGACAUCGGCAAAAAGUAAAUCAAUGGUGGAUGAACUUUUUGCUGAGAUCGUCAGGCAAAUGAACUAUUCAUCCCUGCCGGAGAAGCAAGAUCAGUGUUGUACAACUUGUGUCGUCCAGUAAAGAAGAUAACCUCAAUCAUGGCCAUACCGAGCAGAUAAAACUCAGAGGAAAUUUGCACAGAUGCUGCUUUGGAGAACUUUACAACCUGGGUUGCAGAACUGAGCCUUGGUAAACCUGUCUCUAUUACAGCAUGUUGCCAUACAUCUAUUUAAGUGCAUAAGGUCUUUGGCCUUCAAGAUCCAUCGACCUUAAACAGGAAUGCUUAGCACGUUUACCAUACGUUUAAAAUCCAUUCUUUAUCAAUCAGUCCUUUUAUAGCUUUCUAAGUUCUUAUUGAUGGCUAAUAUACAAGGGUUAAUUUUUAAUAUUUUAAUUGAUUUCUUUAAUCAGUUUCUCGACUUGUAUUUAUUAAAUACUCAAACUCAGUAUUACCUACUCAAUGCCUUUUAAAAGAAAGUUAUAAUGGAGAAAAAAUUGAGCCUUAAACAAAUGGUUACUUCUGUAUAUUACCUCGUACCAGUGCUUCAUCCUAUUUGUAAAAUCUUUCUCCUUUAAAAUUAUUGGUUAAUACUUUGAGACUUUGUUUACGUGUGGCAGUGUUGUAAAAAGAAACUAAAGAUCACAUUUUACCUGUAUGGAUGGAAUAUCCCUUUUCUUCAAGUGCAGUUUGUGAUGUGUUUUGUUUUUUUUUUUUUUUUUUUGUAAUUAACAUGUUCUGAAGGUUACAAUUGAUAUUUGAAAUUGACUGUAGAGCAUUUAGUUGAAGAGUUAAGCAUUCAGUUCCAUUAGGUUUUCACAUGUGUUAAUCUCAUUUACAGCAUUGAAUUGCGGCAGUAACAUUUUCCUUUCUGUGAAGUUCUAAAUUUAGUUAUGACCUAUUUAGCAAUGCCUUUGAAAAGGGAUAUUGUAUCCAUGGUAAAUUAAUUGUAUACCUAAACAGAGAUAGCUCAUCUUUGCCUAUCAGGCUUGUAAUUGACAUCUAGUAGACUUCUGCACAUGUAAAAUUGAAUUCAAAUAAAAUCAUACACACUUUCUAGUUCUUAAUAUUUGUCUUUCUGAAUAAUAGUUUAAAGCAAUAUUUGUUAAAGUUUUCUUGCACUAUCACAAUUGCUUUUUAGUUAUUUCUCAAGAAGCAUGUUCGUAUUAGAGACAAAAUCUGUGUAACAGGAGGGAGAAUAGCGCCAAGUCUCUGGGCUAUUUUUUAUUUUUGCAAAUGUGCUUUCUAAUAGCCAUUGCCUUCCAUGUUGUUUACCUAAUCAGCAUAUUUUUGUCUGAAUACUUGAACAUUUUAACAGUAACGCAGGUGUAGAAUCAGAAAGGAAACUUAUGCAGAGUAAUAUUUUGGUUCAGUUUUAACAUCGUGACAAUGAGGGCUUUUUCUAGCAAUGAUUUUUAAAUUGUGUAAGUUUGACAGUAUUUUAUUGUUGGGUUUUUAUUUGAUUUUAGUUGUGUGCUUUUCAUUUGCAGAAGUUAGUAACUGCAGCUCACCUACUGCACCAAAGUUCUCGAUUUUAGGAGCCCAGCUUUAGUCAUUUGAACAUGCUUCUAAAUAAAAUAAAACAAAACCAAAACUAUACUUUUGAUCUAUAAUAAGAGCUCAAUAACUUUGUCAAGGAAAGCUCUAAUAUAUGCAGUGAUGGUUUAUGAAAGGGUGUGGCAAUUUUAAAUUUAUAUUGUGUGUGAUGUUCAAAUAAAGUGGUAUCUACAUUCAUGUGAUUUAUGGGUCAGCAUGACCAUUAAUUACUGAGUAGAAAUUGACUAAACUUUGAUUUCCUUUUUUUAAAUCGUGUUGCAUUUGAUUCCUGAGCAAAUUCCCUCAAAGUGAACUCUUGUUCUUAAAUUUUGAAUUUUAUGGUGAGAUUGUAAAGAUAGAGGCAAUUGAAACAUUGUUCCUUAUUUAUGAACUGCUUGAAGUGAAUACUUAAUUUAAGUUUGCACUUUAAUACCAAACUUAAAACCAAACACUCAUUUAAAAGUAGGUUAAGUGAUCAUGGAUCAUUGUUAUUAGCUUUGUGGCUUUGUGAAAUUCUAAAGGAAUCAAAUAAUUCAUCAUGAUUUAAAUUUUCUAGAGAUUUUGAUUUUUUUAUAAUGUUUCUUUCCUGUAGAUUGUGUUCUUGUUUCUCUCUCUCUCUCUCUCUCUCUCUCUCUCUCUCUCUCUCUCUCUCUCUCUCUCUCAAAAUUACAGUGUUCAUUGUCAUUGACCUCAGCAGCAAAUUUGACUUGAAUUCACUUAGGAUCGCAGGAAUCAGGGGAAAGUGAUUUUAAAGGUGGUUUCUCCAGCACAUUUUAAGAAAAGGGACCAAAAGUUAUUUUAGCUUCCUCAAUAGAUUGCAUGUUGCUUAUUAGGAUAAUAAAUUAAUAUUAAAUGCAAUAUAUGUCUUGUCUUUAUUAUGGCAUCUAUUUAGGAGUUGUUCAAAUCACUGCAGUAGGGCUCUGCAAAUAAAAUAAUGUAACCUAUUAUCAUGGAUCUAAUGUACUGUAACUUUAUCAGUGAAAGGUAAAAUCUCAAAUAACAAGUACAAACAUUGAACAAUUACCUAUAAAGAUUUGUAAAAGUAAAAUUUUUCCAAUAGAUUUCAUUCUUGUCAUUUUGUAAGACGACCCUGCAGUCCACCUGUUUGUAACUUUUUUAAUAAAAUAGACAUCUGUAUUACUGAG
rnacentral:lncRNA from 1 species